rfam:Oxytricha trifallax strain JRB310 Contig22946.0 macronuclear, whole genome shotgun sequence.
GACACUUUGGCCGAGUGGUUAAGGCGUUGGCCUGCUAAGCCAAUGGGAGUUUUCCCGCGAGAGUUCAAACCUCUCAGGUGUCG